AGUGAACGCUAGUGGCGUGCUUAACACAUGCAAGUCGAACGGACGAUAUUUGUGCUUGCACAAAUAAAGUUAGUGGCAAACGGGUGAGUAAUGCCUAGGAAAUUGCCCUGAUGUGGGGGAUAACCAUUGGAAACGAUGGCUAAUACCGCAUGAUGCCUACGGGCCAAAGAGGGGGACCUUCGGGCCUCUCGCGUCAGGAUAUGCCUAGGUGGGAUUAGCUAGUUGGUGAGGUAAGGGCUCACCAAGGCGACGAUCCCUAGCUGGUCUGAGAGGAUGAUCAGCCACACUGGAACUGAGACACGGUCCAGACUCCUACGGGAGGCAGCAGUGGGGAAUAUUGCACAAUGGGCGCAAGCCUGAUGCAGCCAUGCCGCGUGUGUGAAGAAGGCCUUCGGGUUGUAAAGCACUUUCAGUCGUGAGGAAGGUAGUGUAGUUAAUAGCUGCAUUAUUUGACGUUAGCGACAGAAGAAGCACCGGCUAACUCCGUGCCAGCCGCCGCCGUAACAC
rnacentral:rRNA from 1 species